rnacentral:lncRNA from 10 species
AUUCUCUUCAGAUCAGAGCUGAUGUAUAACAGCCACUGGCAAUAUCCCAAGACAUGAUCCAGUGAUUGCCAGGUUAUGGGUUGCAUCUUAGAGUUAAGGUGAGAGGAGCUUGGGAAAGAGGUUGAGAGAUGUGGCUUGAGAGUGGGAGAGAUGGAGAAAGUAAAAGAAAUUGGACACUGAUCUACAUAGAGCAACACUUCCCUAAUUGGUUUUGGCUCCAACUCAGGCAGACUCAGCUUUAAAACCAGACUCCACCACCUACC